UUAGGCACGAAAUUGUAGGAAAUGUGUUAGGGGAAGUACGGUAGUUCGUUAGGAAAUGUGGGCCAACAUUCAAGAAGAAUCGUCUCGCACAUAUAUACUGAUGCUUCAGUGAGUUGUUGAAGUUGUGCUACAAAAAGUUACAACAAAUGGUUGAAUGAUAACUGGAGCAUUGUCUUUAUAUAUGGAAAAUUCAUGCAUUCUCGCAAUACUUUAAAAGAUUAUUUCUAGCUUCUGAAAGGAUAUGUCAGAUACAGAUUCACAAAGUGUAUUUAAAUUCCCGACAAAGUAAAAGAAAUUCCCUACGUCGGAGAGCUUGAAUUCAUACGGGAAAGUUUGCUGAACUAAUAGCGUGAGUGACUGCUGAGAAUCGGAGAGCAAAAUCAUUUUCUCACAUUUAUUGUUUAAAGCCAAUGAUUGUUUCAAUGUACUUCACCUCUCUAUCGACAGCCAUUCAGAAACACAGAAGCAGAAAGGGGCGAAAGCACUCUUGACCUUCUGCAGACACAGAAUGGGCUCAUUUUGUAUACAUAUGAUCAGUUGCAUUCCAGAUAUUCAACGCCAGUAGUCUCCAAAGUACGCACUACUUUUAUGAAGUGGCUCACGGUAAUAUUUAAUUAAAGGUCGCUCCCAGAUAAUAAAGCUUGUCAGUAAUUGCAAGCGCAGUAUUUCUAUAAUUCACAGUAAGGCAAAAUCCUGGAUGGAUAGACGAAAAUUAUUAUUAUUUCUAUUAUAUAACAUAGAUUAUUUCUAUUACAAAUUAUUUUACAUCAAAGAGAAUUAAAUGUUUGCUUUCAUCAUCAUAUUCUGUUACUAUUGUAAAUGAUGAUCAGAAAUAACCCAAAUUUAUUACGAUCUAGCACAGAAUUAUGAGCAUUUAUUAACAGCUGCCAUACAAACAUAAUCGGUAUAUGAUUGUCUAUUUUUAAGACAAAUACAAUCGUCUAAGGUAACAUUUUUCUGGAGUAUGACUUCUGCUUUCUAUUGUUUUUAUAAAUUUGUAUGAUAUAUGAUUAUGAUAAAUACAAAUAAAAAAAAUUAAACAAAGAAUACGCUACAAAAAUAAGUUUUUCAUUAAAAAAUAGACAAAUUUUAAUAAAUAAUAUAGACUGUUGUUCAUUUUAAACGAAUCUUGAAAUUAUCGUGAUUAUGUUUAUUGUAUUUGAAUAUGGAAUAAAAAUGCCCUGUCUCAGAAAUGUACAUGUAUCGAACAAGAAAAUUAUUUCAUUCCAUGAUAUAAAUUUUUAUUCGUAUGAUGCAAAUUUCUUUAAAAAUAUUCUCAGUUUCAAAUUAUGCUUCAAAUCUUGCAAUAUUAAUUAAAAACUGAAUUGUAAAUAUGAAUUAAAAUGUAAAACAAAUUGCAAAUUGUGUAUUACUGGGAUUAA